rnacentral:misc_RNA from 1 species
UUUCCGUAGGUGAACCUGCGGAAGGAUCAUUAAUGAGUUGUCAUGGGGUUCGAUGCUGGCAGCCAGUUUUUGGAUGCAUGUGCUUGCCCUAACAAUCAUCUUCUUCCAAACACCUGUGCACAUUUUUGAGGGAGUCUUGAGUUGGUUGCCGCUCUUGGGUGAUUUUCUCACAUUCCCUUAAAUCAUUAUACGCUAUUAACAAUGUUGAACGUGCUCUGUGCCGCAAGGCCAUUAAUAUAAUACAACUUUUAACAACGGAUCUCUUGGCUCUCGCAUCGAAGAACGCAGC